rnacentral:rRNA from 1 species
GACGAACGCUGGCGGCGUGCUUAACACAUGCAAGUCGAACGGAAAGGCCCUGCUUUUGUGGGGUGCUCGAGUGGCGAACGGGUGAGUAACACGUGAGUAACCUGCCCUUGACUUUGGGAUAACUUCAGGAAACUGGGGCUAAUACCGGAUAGGAGCUCCUGCUGCAUGGUGGGGGUUGGAACGUUUCGGCGGUUGGGGAUGGACUCGCGGCUUAUCAGCUUGUUGGUGGGGUAGUGGCUUACCAAGGCUUUGACGGGUAGCCGGCCUGAGAGGGUGACCGGCCUCAUUGGGACUGAGGUACGGCCCAGACUCCUACGGGAGGCAGCAGUGGGGAAUAUUGCACAAUGGGCGGAAGCCUGAUGCAGCAACGCCGCGUGCGGGAUGACGGCCUUCGGGUUGUAAACCGCUUUCGCCUGUGACGAAGCGUGAGUGACGGUAAUGGGUAAAGAAGCACCGGCUAACUACGUG